ACUCCUACGGGAGGGCAGCAGUGGGAAUAUUGCACAAUGGGGGAAACCCUGAUGCAGCCAUGCCGCGUGUGUGAAGAAGGCCUUCGGGUUGUAAAGCACUUUCAGCGAGGAGGAAAGGGUGUGUGCUAAUACCAUACAUCUGUGACGUUACUCGCAGAAGAAGCACCGGCUAACUCCGUGCCAGCAGCCGCGGUAAUACGGAGGGUGCGAGCGUUAAUCGGAAUUACUGGGCGUAAAGCGUGCGCAGGCGGUUUGUUAAGCGAGAUGUGAAAGCCCCGGGCUCAAGCCUGGGAAUUGCAUUUGCAGAACUGGCAAGCUAGAGUCUUGUAGAGGGGGGUAGAAUUGCAGGUGUAGCGGUGAAAUGCGUAGAGAUCUGAAGGAAUACCGGUGGCGAAGGCGG
rnacentral:rRNA from 1 species